rnacentral:rRNA from 1 species
UACAGAGGGCUCAAGCGUUGUUCGGAUUCAUUGGGCGUAAAGGGUGCGUAGGCGGCGCGGUAAGUCGGGUGUGAAAUCUCGGAGCUUAACUCCGAAACUGCAUUCGAUACUGCCGUGCUUGAGGACUGGAGAGGAGACUGGAAUUUACGGUGUAGCGGUGAAAUGCGUAGAUAUCGUAAGGAAGACCAGUGGCGAAGGCGGGUCUCUGGACAGUUCCUGACGCUGAGGCACGAAGGCCAGGGGAGCAAACGGG